CCGCGAGUGGCGCAUUCGCGCGCCGGCGUCCCGGCCGGCGCGGCGUCGCGUCUCGCGCACGGCGUGCGAGGCGGCGCUCGCUGCC
rnacentral:tRNA from 1 species